UGUGCAAGUGACGAUAAACAGACAGGGACAUCAGAACUCCUUUGGGAGGAUGGUGAUUUGUCAAUGGGAAUCUCUCUGAUGCACA
rnacentral:snoRNA from 3 species